rnacentral:ncRNA from 1 species
GAAAUUGAAACUUAGUUUGAACUUUCAUAGUUAAAACAUUAUAGUUUUUGGAAUAGAAUUAAAUAUAAAAAAUAGUGGGAGAACGUUAGCUCCUAAAUAAGUUUAUGAGUGCAUUUAUAUUUGCAUUGAAUUCCUUAUAUGGGAGCUAUGCAUAAACCAAUACAAACCCAUGUGAAAUGGAUGCAUUAUUCAACAGAGGCAAAAGACUAAUCGAACCAUUUGGUAGUUGGUUCCUCCCAGGUUUUCUUCAGAAUAGCUGCUGUUCUUGCAGUCAUAUAGUUUCGUUCAGUAAAAGUAGAUGAGCACAGGUCUUGGGGAGGAAAACAGUCUCAGCCUUUCCCUAGGCUUUAAAUGGAUGAGAAGCCCAGCUUGCUGAUAUGGAGUAUGGUGUGGAAUGAGAGUGUGUAGUGUUCCACUUUGGCCAGCCCGAGGGAAGCUGUAAGAUGAACAAAAUGUCACUAGGAGUGCCUGAUGCAGAUACUCUUUAGAUCCCAGGAAAGACUAGUUGCCACAGACAGUGUGGUAGUGGCCACCAGAGUGGGAAUCUGCUAACCUGUGGGUGCCACCUAAUCCUGAAAAUGGAUGGCACUGGACUGUCAAACUCAUACCUGAUCCUGUAGUGCAGUAGUGGUGAACCUAUGGCACAGGUGCUGCAGCCAGCUGUUUGUUAUCAUUGAAAGCUCUAAAAGUGCUGUCACUGAUCUAGAGCCUUAGCAGCCUGGAUCCCUCUCAUGGAUGGUGAGCUAUGACAAGCAAGGCAGCUGCAGCAAAUCAUGAGGCCAAGAGCAUGGGACUAGGCGGAACUGUGUAGCUC